UGAUAAGUUGUCACAGGCGUUCCAACUGUUUGACGCGAAACUCAAUGCUUGUGACAAAGAGGCCCGGUUACUAAGGAAGAAGUAAUUAAUGCAUGAUUUUGGAAAAUUUUCAACCACAAAGGCUUGCAUAGUUACACAUGAAUCAUCAUAAACAUUCAUUAAAGAUGAAAAUCAAUAUCUUAAGCAAAAAUUUAACCAACAAUGGAAGAGAAAUAAUGUUCUAAGUUUAAAUAACUGGUAAAAACAUCAACAAACUCUAGAAUCACUUGCUAUAACUCUUGAUAACGAUAUUGAAUU